GGGACGAUGGGUGUCCUUGGCCCUUCCAGGAGUCCAGCUACCAAGUGCUUCCCUCAGGAUCCAGGCCCAGGUGCGAGACGCUGGCCAGUGGACAGCACAGUCCAUCAUGUCUGGACAAGGCCAGGAAGGAGGAAGACUGGUUUCUCCAGGGAGCCUCUGAGAGUACCCACAGCAGGGCCAGGAGCCAAAGGCCUGACCCACCAGGAAUGCUGAGACCGUGGGGGACCCUCUGGGAUGGCAACAGAACUGGGCAGCAAAAACAAACAAUUCCAGAGGGCGCCGGAGUCCACGGCCAGUGCAGAGAGCUGAGAGGCACAGCCUGAGUCCAGGGAAAACACGGGGAGCCGGUGACGCGCACGCCCUUGUUCCCUGCGAGCACGGGGCACUCAGGACUGCUCUUUAGGCACGACUCCCCCAGCGAGAGCGCGGGGAGGCUGUAAGUGUGCGGGCUGCAAAGUCCACCGGGAAAGGCCAACCCUGCCGGCUCCGCCAGAUGGCUGUGGGGCCAGACAGCCGAGCUCCAGCCCUGCCAUUGACCAGCUCCACGAGAUCUCAGUCCAGCCACAUGGGUCUCCUUGCUGUAUCAUGGAUGGACCAGACGUGCUGCUGCCUCAGGACCUUUGCACCUUCAAUCUCUGGACCCGGAAUGUUCUUCCUCAGUCUCCUUGAGCUAGGCGUGGUGGAGAAGCUUCCAAGGUGGGAGUCUGAGCCAAAAGAAGUGUGUUGCAACGCCCCUGAAAGGAACCUCUCUCUGAAAAGCAAUUCAGAACCUUCCUGCCGGGACGGUGGCGAAAGAGGCCGUCCAGCUGGUGAAAGAGAGGGACGGAAGCCAGCAGUGGCCCAGGGAGGACAGAACCACGGGCAUCCCGCUGUGUUUGAAAGCACGCGGACGAGGAGGACAGGAAGGAGCCUCACUGAGAUGUUAACAGUGUCUGCUCCAGGAGCAGGGUCACAGAUUUUCUCUGUACCUUCUUUCUGUUUUUCCGAAUUCUCCAGAUCUUCUACAGUGAGCAUUAUGAUGAGAGGAAUGAAAAUAAGCAGCCUCCUUUCUAGAAAGAAGACUAUCCCAAAAGCAUCACAGCGUGUCGGAACCAGAAAGCAGCUACAAGACAGUGUAGCUCUGGUUUCACGGAUGUGGAAACUGAGUCCAGAGGAGGGAGGGACUUGCCCGCAGCACCACGGUACUGGAGAGGUGGAAUCGCGACGGCCGUGGUUAAAAGGACGCGAUCCGGUGCUAGAUCUGAGUUCAAAUCCCAGCUCGGCCACGCGCCGGCAGUUCACUAACCCGUUUCUCACAAUUGUCUGUGCGCAGGGCUCUGUGCCGAUGCAACGAGGGCGGAGUGCCGUGUGCGAGGUAUUCCGCACAGAGUGAGCGCUCGGGAACAGGAGCUCUGUCGUCAUUGUGACAUUAACAGUGCUGUGCUUGGGUGGCAGGGCUAUAAGAGAUUUUCUUCUCCUAGGGGUCAUCUCUUUAAAAACGACAGCCAAGGGGCUGGCCCCGUGGCCAAGUAGUUAAGUUCUCGCACUCUGCUUCGGCAGCCAAGGGUUUCGCCAGU